rnacentral:rRNA from 1 species
UGGGGAAUAUUGGGCAAUGGGCGAAAGCCUGACCCAGCAACGCCGCGUGAGGGAAGAAGGCUUUCGGGUUGUAAACCUCUUUGACAGGGGAAGAUAAUGACGGUACCCUGAAAACAAGCUCCGGCUAACUACGUGCCAGCAGCCGCGGUGAUACGUAGGGAGCAAGCGUUAUCCGGAAUUACUGGGUGUAAAGGGCGCGUAGGCGGGACUGCAAGUCAGAUGUGAAAUACCGGGGCUUAACUCCGGGGCUGCAUUUGAAACUGUGGUUCUUGAGUGAUGGAGAGGCAGACGGAAUUCCCGGUGUAGCGGUGGAAUGCGUAGAUAUCGGGAGGAACACCAGUGGCGAAGGCGGUCUGCUGGACAUUAACUGACGCUGAGGCGCGAAAGCGUGGGGAGCAAA